CCUACGGGUGGCUGCAGUGGGGAAUAUUGGACAAUGGGCGAAAGCCUGAUCCAGCCAUGCCGCGUGUGUGAAGAAGGCCUUCGGGUUGUAAAGCACUUUCAGUGGGGAAGAAAGCCUUGGGGCUAAUACCCUCGAGGAAGGACAUCACCCACAGAAGAAGCACCGGCUAACUCCGUGCCAGCAGCCGCGGUAAUACGGAGGGUGCGAGCGUUAAUCGGAAUUACUGGGCGUAAAGCGCGCGUAGGCGGUCUGAUAAGCCGGUUGUGAAAGCCCCGGGCUCAACCUGGGAACGGCAUCCGGAACUGUCAGGCUAGAGUGCAGGAGAGGAAGGUAGAAUUUCCGGUGUAGCGGUGAAAUGCGUAGAGAUCGGGAGGAAUACCAGUGGCGAAGGCGGCCUUCUGGACUGACACUGACGCUGAGGUGCGAAAGCGUGGGUAGCAAACAGGAUUAGAUACCCGGGUAGUC
rnacentral:rRNA from 1 species